rnacentral:misc_RNA from 1 species
GUGCGCAGUGCUACCUAUAUCAUGGAAGACGCCUGAUAUAACACUGUUAUGGGAAGAAAGAAGAGGCAAAAUGGUUUACGACUUUGACGUGAAGACCUUUUGUCAGAACUUGAAGGCAACCAAGCCUCCUUAUGAGUGUCCUGUGAAAUCUUGUGGAAAGGUGUACAAGAGUUAUUGUGGUAUACAGUUUCACAUGUAUAACUAUGACCAUGAUAAUCCAGAAAAUAAUGCUUCCCCAGCAAAAAAGCCCCCCAGCAAGAAGAAACAAAAAUGGCAUCAUAGACAAAACAGACGAUCUCCAACUCCACCUGAAUUCACACAAACAUUGAGAAGAGAAACAUUAACUUACGCAGAGUCUCAGAGGCUUGUGGAAGUAGACUUAGAAGGAAGAAUUCAUAGAAUUAAUAUAUAUGAACCACUGGAAAUAAUUUCUCAAGAUGAAAUUGACAAUCACCACAACACAGAAAAAGAGGAAAAAGCGGAGAAAAGUCCUGUAAAACAUGUGAAGUCAAGUGAUGGUUCUAAAACAAGGAAAGAACCUAGUGUUCCUAGUCAUACAAACGCAAAUUCUAAGUUACCAGAAGCUCAGUAUAAGGUAAUUGAGGACUUCAUCAAGCCUUCCCACCUUCAACCAAGACCAAAUUCUUACUACAGAUAUAUAGAAAAGUCCACAGAAGAAUUGGACAAUGAAGUUGAAUAUGACAUGGAUGAAGAGGAUCAUUCUUGGCUCACAUUGGUCAAUGAAAAAAGGAAGAAUGACGGCAUAGGUUCAGUAAAACAAGAAGACUUUGAAAUGCUUAUGGACAGGUUUGAAAAAGAAGCAUUUUUCCAAAGCCAGACCUCUGGCAAGGAUGUGGGUCCUCCUAUAGAUGAGGAUGCUGUGUGUACUAUUUGUAUGGAUGGUGAAUGCCAAAACAGUAAUGUUAUUUUAUUUUGUGAUAUGUGCAAUCUGGCGGUCCAUCAGGAGUGUUAUGGUGUUCCGUACAUUCCAGAAGGACAGUGGUUAUGUAGACGUUGCCUUCAGUCGCCUUCCAGGGCAGUGGAUUGUUGCCUAUGUCCAAACAAAGGUGGUGCUUUCAAACAGACUGAUGAUGGAAGGUGGGCUCAUGUGGUGUGUGCCCUGUGGAUUCCAGAAGUAGGUUUUGCAAAUACUGUAUUCCUUGAACCUGUAGACAGUAUGGACCAUAUUCCACCGGCACGAUGGAAACUUUCUUGUUACAUUUGUAAACAGCGAGGUACAGGUGCCUGCAUACAGUGUCAUAAAACAAACUGUUAUACAGCAUUUCAUGUUACAUGUGCACAGCAGGCAGGGUUGUAUAUGAAAAUCGAACCAGUGAAAGAACCUAGUGCUAGUGGUCCAACAAUGACAGUUAGGAAAACUGCCUACUGUGAUGUACAUACUCCAGCUGAUUCAGACUGUAUGCCAAUGCUUGCAGACAGUUCAGAAGAGGAUAAGUCGGCCUCGGCGAAGAAAGCCAAGGAAAAGUCCCGUAUAAAAAUGAGGAAAGCGAGAAAAAUCUUAGCUGAGAAAAGAAAUGCAAUGCCUGUUGUAUCAAUUCCAAUUAUACCUCAGCAAAGGUCAAGGGUCAAGAUCCACACAGUAAUAUCCGAAUCCAUGUUGUCCAAGAUAGGUCAGUUAUUUGUCUUCCCUAAGAAGCAAGUAUUUUUGUCCCGGUUAUUGAGCUAUUGGACUUUGAAGAGGCAGUCACGGAAUGGAGUACCACUUUUACGUAGAUUGCAGUCAAAUCAUAUGACAAGGAACAAAGAACAGUUCAAUUUCAAGGUGAAAAAUGACAAACAGAGCAAUGCACUGAAGGAACAACUGAAGUACUGGCAGCGACUGAGACAAGACCUAGAAAAGGCACGCCUGCUGGUGGAACUGAUCAGGAAGAGGGAAAAACUCAAACGAGAACAGGUCAAAGUGCACCAGCUGGCUCUAGAGCUACAGCUGCAGCCGUUUGCAGUCCUACUCCGCCACACACUGGACCAGCUGCAAGAAAAAGAUAAUGCCAGCAUAUUUGCAGAACCUGUGUCUUUGGACGAGGUGCCAGACUACUUGGAGUAUAUCCAGACACCAAUGGAUUUCCUAACAAUGAGACAGAAGGUGGAGAGUCACAAGUACAAAACAAUGGAUGAGUUUGAACUUGACUUUGAAAACAUCAUCAACAACUGCCUCAUGUACAAUGCUAAAGACACGAUGUUUUACAGGUCGGCCACACGUUUACGAGAUCAGGGUGGUAUGGUGAUUCGAGCAUCCAGAAGAAUGGCAGAGAGGGUUGGUUAUGACCCUGACACAGGACUUCACCUGGAGAAACCUCCCCAUGAGAAGGAACCAGUUAUUUUGGAGGACUUUGAUAGUUUCCAAGAAAAGAGGGAAAGCUUUCCCCUGGAUGAACAGUUACGCAUCCUGUUGGAUAAAAUGGACAUGGCUAACAACAUGAAAGGACAAUCCAGUCUCGCAAAAAAAAUCAAGAAAGAUAUUAUCAAAGUGAGACAGAAACUUGCUAUUCAGAAGGAAGGUUUACAGGCGAGUGAUCUGGACGACAGCAUAGGUACAGUAUCUGACCAAAACGAUGAUUCCAUGGCCGAAGAUGUGAAAGAAGAAACUCCCGUCCGUAGCACAAAGUCCCCUUCUGUUGACAAGUCAGCUGGUAAAUCCUCAUCCAAAGACACACCCUCUGGUAGGGGGCGUGGUCGGGGGAGAGGCAGGGGGCGUGGCAGACUGACAAGUCACAGCAAGAGUGAAUCCGAGUCAGAGUCAGUGGUGCUUCCCAAACAUUUAGGAAAGGAAUUAGACAAAAGACGAUCAUCUGACAGCUCGCGUACCACAGAAUCAUCAGUUUCAUCAAAAAAUGAGGACAGUAAUUCAUCUCAGCCAACAACAAGUGGGGUGAAUAGAAGAACAGCUGUAUUGUUUAGUAAGAAGGUGUUCCGCAGCAAGCAGGAUGUCUCCAACCCAAGUAGUCCUUGUACACCGCCCAAAAAACAAGGGAAAGCUGGUCGACCCCCAAGACAAAAAGUCAUGGAGCAGUCAGACUCACCACAGCCUCCUGUUCUUGAACCCAUGAGUCCAUCUACAAGAAGCAGAGGUCCCAGUAGUCCAGCUUCCAGGAAAAGAUCACACAGUGCAAUAACCUCACCAGAUAGAGAGGGAAGACCAUCACCUCCAAAGCGUACCUCGUCUCUGACGGAACCCCUGUCACAGUUUGCUGAACCACCAGACCUGACUAAACGAGACAGCUUCAUGGUGUAUAGGGGUCCUGAUAAUCUGAGAAGCUCGUCAGAAUCGGAUAGUACCUCUAUGAUCAGUACAAGUGAUGAUUCCAUAUCCGAGACAUCAAGCGGAACCUCCAGCAGCAACAGUCGAUCAGAGUUAAAUUCAAACGGAAUGCCAAAGCUUUCUGAAGAUGGUACAGAGAGUGAGUACUCCGGGUCCCCGGGCUCCAAUGGCACUGCAAGGAAAAAAGUUACUGGUGUGAAGUCACGCAUGCUGACUGGUAUCCCAGGUUCUCCUGCAUGUAACCCUGCUACAGCUUCUCACAGCGUACAGACCAAUAAUGCUUCUACUAGUUCUCUGCAUGCUUUGCUUGUUGAGGAUGCAAACUUCCAUGAGCUCUGCCUCUCGGAUGGGUUGGAUGAUAGUGCUAAUGCUCCAGUUGAUAAGUUAAAUGGCAGUAAGAUUAUUUGUGAUUCAAAAAACAAAAAAUGUAGUAGUCAUGGAUUUGUCAUUGUCAAAAAGACAAAAUCAAAUCAAAAGAAAAGUAAACUCUUUAAAUCGAAACAAAAUGAGAAGCAAACUUGUGGCAGUAGAGUAGCUACAAGUAGAUCUAGUCUGGCUGAGAAACCGGCCGUUGGUAAACAAACAAGGCUUCACCAGACAGACGCUCCUGACAACAAACCUCCGUCCAAAUCUGUCAGACACUUGAGAUCUUGUGACUCUGUCGGACGAGCCAAAUGUUGUUUAGAGCCUAAAGCCUCUUGUGCUACUGGCUGCUCAGGAAAGCUGGUCUGCAGGAUUGAUAGUAAAGGUCCGGGAGAGCGUAUCACUGGCAUAAAGAAACAGAUACACGAGCUCACCGCAGUACGAGUGUGGACUCCGAUGAUUUGAUCCCUUUAGAACCGUUGGACCUUGUGUGGGCCAAAUGUAGAGGCUACCCUUGGUAUCCUGCACUGAUCAUCAAUCCAAAAAUGCCGAAGACUGGGUAUUUUCACAACGGUGUUCCCAUCCCUGUACCUCCUGAGGAUGUUCUGCUCCUGCAGCGCAA